UACGUAGGGUGCAAGCGUUGUCCGGAAUCAUUGGGCGUAAAGCGCGCGUAGGCGGCCCGGUAAGUCCGCUGUGAAAGUCGGGGGCUCAACCCUCGGAUGCCGGUGGAUACUGUCGGGCUUGAGUGCGGAAGAGGCGAGUGGAAUUCCUGGUGUAGCGGUGAAAUGCGCAGAUAUCAGGAGGAACACCAAUUGCGAAGGCAGCUCGCUGGGACGUUACUGACGCUGAUGCGCGAAAGCGUGGGGAGCAAACAGG
rnacentral:rRNA from 1 species